rnacentral:tRNA from 1 species
GCGGGCGUGGUGGAAUUGGUAGACACACCAGAUUUAGGUUCUGGCGGCCUAGGCCGUGGGGGUUCAAGUCCCUCCGCCCGCACCA